rnacentral:lncRNA from 1 species
UGGCCACCAUUUUUUUUCCCCCCUGGUUUCAGUUAAUUAAAUCACUUCUUCUAAUUUCUGCCAUUUUCUCCUGACCAACUCCCUAGCCAUCUUUGCAUAGCACUGAAUUCUGAAACAAUCUUAGAAGCUUACACUGAAGACUCAAUGUUUACACUAAAGGACAGAACCAGGACAGAUAAGGCAAAAUGACAGUGAGAGAAAUGGUAUGUUAAUAUAAGGAAGAUCUAGCUAUGUGGGGUAACUUGCAAUGAAGCUGGCUGACACAGAAGUGAUGAAUUCAACAUGAGUAAAUAUGUUUAAGUCAAAGAGGAAUGACUAACAUGAUAAAAGAUUUUUUUGGAAAGAGCACCAAAGAGUCUUUCUACCUCCAAUAUUAUAUAAGAACAAGAUAUUAAAUACAUCUAAAUAUUUAAGUGAAACUGAACUUUAAAUUCAGUUUUGUCUGAAGCACUGAAGGCUGAGAGUAAGCACACCCGAGUGGGGUGAGGGGACAGGGGCCCUGCAAAGGACAUGCUAAGGGUAUGAAACUGAUUCUGGCAGCAUAGGGAAUUGCCAUAGCAGCCAGGAGAAGAGAACUGUUGAGGAGGAAGGGGUGAUCAGAGUGCUCUGCUCCACCUUCUCAAACAAGCCUGAGCUUUGAGGGGGGAACUUUAUUUGUGUUUCUGGAGUUGGAGGCAUGGGAAUAAGGAAUCAGGGAAGAUAGAAAUUUAAGAAAUUCAAAAGCAAUAGGAGUGACUAAAGCUGCCCACUAGGUGGCAGAGCCAGGGGAGUCCUGGGAGGGAGCUAGGACUUUUCCCCCACAGGUUCAGUUUCCUCAUGGGGCAAAUGGAAGUGGAUUUGAGCCAUUCUGAGAGAGUCUCCCCCCCCACCCCACCCCCCAAUAAAGAGAAUUUAUGUAUGAUCAACUGCUGGGUUCCAGGGACUGAGGGAAGGAAUGCGAAGCUGAUCACCGGACAAACCAUCCAGGUAUCAAUUAAUAUUCAGUCAAUGAAUACACUCCACCAUAAGUGGAGGACAUUUGUGUGUUUUGAGGAUGCAUGCAAUAGAUUUCCUAGAAUGAUGGGGACUUUGGGGAAAAAAAUCCUUGGAGAAUGACAUUAGCACCAAUCUUGAAAGCCCUUGACUGCCCAGCUAAAAUCUUACAGUCCAAACCAGUAAGAGGAAUUCACCAUUGUUAUUGGACUGAGAAAAGUCAUGAUGUUAGAUAAUUGGGAUACAGAUUCUUCCUUGGGCCCACUGAUUUCACUAUUAUGGACCGGAUUUUCCCCAAAUCAAACUGAACUGAUUCCUAUUGAGGUCUACUCUUUCACAUUCAUUCUUUUAUCCUUAUUCAGCUUUCUCCCUUCUAAACUGUUUGUUCAUAUGCAUUGUAAUGAUAUUUAAUCUUGUGUUCAGUGUUCCAUGCUAGUAUUACUUUGCCUGCUAAAAUCAUUCCUAUUUACUGCUAUUAUUAUCAAUUUUAUAAGAGAUUCCUUAUUCCAUCUCUCAUCCACCAAACCCAAUCUUUCUGAUGUUUUCCUCACUUAGAACUGCAUCUUCUUAUGUCAUGAAAUCAUUUUCAUUGAGCCUUUACAAACACAACUCAAAACUCAGUUCUCCUGUGAUGCCUCUAAGAUUUCUGCAGAAUCAUGGACAGUCUCCUAAAGGAAAUUUUCCAAGUUAAAAUGAUUGAAAAUUGUAUCUAUCCUCCCAAAUUUCACUGCAACUCACCUCACUCCCAACUUCUACUUUAUUCUUACUCAGAACAAAGGGGGUGUUCUUUGAACUGUGUUUUGAAGGAGAUGUAUAGUAAUGCUGAAGCAAAUGUCUCACUACUAAAAAUUGCUAAUGAUAACAGUAAUUAAUUAGAUUAAAUACUUUGGCAACUUUCUAGCUCUGAAAGUGUUUCCUAACAAUAACUAUUGAUGAUACUAAUCGAUGUUCAUGAAGAGAAUGAACAACUUCUCUAUCUGUAAAACUCUGUUUUUCAAUACCCAUUACUAUGGUCUCUUGAGACUACUUUGCAUACUUUCAUUUGUUUACCUGAUGCUAAAUCCUGGAACUGCUCUUGCGGGACACAUACAGGGAAAAUGUCUCUGGUCUCUGAAGUCUUUCCUGAUUUAUCAAAAUUUAUUAGAGAAGAAAAUUGACUACCUUGUCAAAUAUCCAUAAUGUUUCACUGCAUUUGUUUGUAUUUUAUUAAAAUAACUCAUAUUUAAAAUAAGAACAUUUUUUUUUUUCUUUUUAUGGCCACGCCUGCAGUAUAUAGAAAUUCCUAGGCUAAGGGUUGAAUCAGAACUGCAGUUGUAGGCCUGUACCACAACCACAGCCACACCAGAUCCAAGCCACAUCUGCGACCUAUGCCACAGCUUGCAGGAAUGGAAUGCCAGAUCCUUGAUCCACGGAUUGAACUUGCAUCCUCACAGAGCCUAUCUAGGGUUCUUAACCCACUGAGCCACAAUGGAAACUUCUGAAAACAUAUUUUAUAUGAUACUAUUUUUCCUUUUAUUUUACAUUAUGGUGCUAAUUAGGUAUAUUUUAAAAAUGUCUAUGGAGAAAGGCUUUAUUUUUGCUUUUAUUUGUAACAGUUGGGGACAUAUGUAUUAUGUAUGUGUGUGUAUAUACAUAUGUGAAUUUUAAAAUUUCUUUAUGUUUAUUCAACUUGUAUUUUUUUGUUUGUGUAACUUAAAAAUCAAUAAUGAUUUUCUUCCUUCAUGUUAAAGAGUUCGGAUAAAAUGCAAAAGCACGAAAUUGCACCUGAUACUUGAAAGUUGCUGUUCCUGACAGCACUUCAUCUUUUUUCAUGCCCAUCUUGGCUUUUCUCCCGGCCCAUCCAUUGCUUAAUGUAAGUGUUAUAAAUUGCUCUAAAGUGCCAUAAAGCAUAAUAAACAUAAAUCAAUAUUUCUUGGUUAAAAACUUAGAAAUGCUGACCCAGCCCAGGUUGGUUAUCGAUGUCCUGCACCCAUCAUGUCCUUUGGUUAUUUUAUCUUAGCAGGAGCCACUUUGGGGCUCAAGAAUGCCUCUCUUUUUGUUUUUCUCUCUGGCCUGAUUCACACGGACACUUGCAAUGACACCUCAGGACAGAUUGUGGGGAAGAUAUCAUCCAGCAGUCUUAGAAAAGCCCCAUUCUUUUUCCUUUUGGCCUCUGAUCUUGGCAACUUUGGAAGAGUGGCGUGACAGUCUCAGACAAAGUUAGAACAUAAGCCGGCAGUACGUCAAGUUCGUCUGAGGCAAAUUCUUGCUUGUCAUGGGGAAAGAAAUGUUCAUUUUCUUCUGAGAUUCAAUGAAUUAAGCAAAAGCCCACUUCUUUCCUUCUGGCUUGCAAAUGUAGCAACUGAUCUAAAUGGAACACCUGCAGGCAGCUUAAUGACAAAACCCACCCAUUUGAAUUUCUGCUAUCUUUGGAAUUUUUUAAUAUGAUUAUAUGCUGUACCCUUGGAUAUAAAACCACAUCCCUCUCCUGGAAAUGACAGCUUGCCCUCACAGCUCACUGAUGCUAUUUAUGUGGCAUUGUUGUUAUUUAUUUUAUCUCAAAGGGAAUGAUUGAAUGGCUUUGUGGUUUCUCCCAAGAAAAUGUGGAGCUACAUAGUAUGAAAUCUGCAAGCUCAGGUGAUCAUCUUUCUUGAGGUGAUUUUCACAGGCAGCUCUUUGGAAAUUGCAUGAAAAUUGGGAAGACAUUAGACAAAGUGGUUUUAUUAGACUUAUUGACUCAAAGCUCACUUUUCACACUAAUUGUGAUCCGGUGCGCUCAGAGGGCAGCCUGCCUUCUCCCCCAUACCUCAUCCCCUUACAGCCAAAAGCAAUGCUCUUUCCACCCACCCCCAGGAUAUCUAAAAGCAUGUAUGUGCAUUGUGGAAAUGAGGAUGCAGAGAAUUAGAUGGACCUUCCAGUUAACCCAGCCUGAAAAGCUACCAUUAGCCUCUCAUUCAUUUGGAUUCUGGAAACUGCUGGAUCAAAAGAAAAAAAAAAAUUAAAUGACCUCUAAGUAUAUAAAAAGAUGCCAAACUGUUCUCAGAAUAAGAGUAGUAUAAAUUAAAAAUAUACCCAAAUACCGUUUUUUUCACUAAUGAGUUUAGUAAGACCAAAAUUUAAUACAUUUUUUUGGAUGAUUCUUUGAACAAACAGGCAUCCUCUAGGGCUAUUGAUGGGUACAAGGAGGAUUAGUUACAGCUAUUAAACUUGUAAAUGCAAUUACCCUUUGAUUUCAGCAAUCCCAGUACUGGAAACUGAUCCUACAGUAAAAAUUGCACAUAUGAAUAAAAAAAAUGUGUUUAAUGUGUUAUGCACAUAUGUUUAAAAUUAUACAUUGAAAGCUCUAACUAUCAGAAGUUCAAAACUCUAGGGGACUGGUUAAAUUAACUAUAGUAUAUGCACCUAAAGGAAUAUUGUACAGCAGUAUAAAAGAAUGGGGAAGCUCAUUAUAUGCUGAUAUGAAAAUAUCUCUAGGAUGUAGCUUUAAAUGGGUAAGUGAAGACAGAGAACAUGGAAUGUAUAAUAAUAUGCAUAUAUAUGGAAAGAGGGAAUAAGAAUUCUUUAUUCUUACUCAGUAUUUGCAUAAAGAUGUACCAAAAGUAUAACUUAAGAAAUUAGUAACAGUGGCUAUCUGAAAAUUAAUAACAAGUGGUUACUUGUGAAAAGGAACAAGAUGGAUGGAAUCAGAGAAAGGGGUAAGAAUUAUCAGUGUUUACUGCUUUUAUUUUUGAACUGUUUGAAAGUGUAGAUUUUUUAAAUUAGAGGCAAUAUAUUUAUGUAUUUGUUUAUUUUGUAAAUAUAUGAUUGUGGUAAAAUAUAUACAGCUUAGAAUUUGCCAUUUUCACUACUUUAAAUGUACAAUUCAGUGGCAUUAAUUAUGUUCACAAUGUUCUGCAACCCUCACUACUGUCCACUUCCAAAACUUUUUAAUCACCUCAAACAGAAACUCUAACAAUUAGGUAGUGACUUUCCACUCUCCCCUCCCCACAGCCUCUAGUUACCUCAAAUCUGUUUUCUGUCUCCAUGAAUAUGCCUAUUCCAGAAAUUUCCUAUCAGUGGAAUAUACAAUAUUUGUUCUUCUGUGUCCAGUUUAUUUCACUCAGCAUGAUGUCUUAUGCGUAUUGUACCAUGUGUCAGAACUUCAUUUAUUUUUAUGACUGCAUAAUAUUCCAUUACGUGUAUAAAACACAUUGUUGUCCAUUCCUCUGCUGAUGGAUACUAGGGUUGUUUCCUCCUUUUGGAUGUUAUUAAUAAUGUUGUAAUGAACAUUAGGGUCCAAGUUCUGUUUGAGUCCUUGUUUUCAAUCCAUUUGUCUAUAUAUCUAGGCAUGGAAUUGCUAAAUCAUUUGGUAAUUCUGAGGCUAGCUUUUCAAGAAACUGCCAAACUGUUUUCCAUAGUGGCUGCACUUUUUACAUUCCCAUCAGCAAA